GCCCGGCUAGCUCAAUCGGUAGAGCGUCAGACUCUUAUACUCCCUGCAGAUCCCCUGCCUUGUGUAGCGGGUGCAUGGGUAUCUGAAGGUUACAGGUUCGACCCCCGUGUCAGGCU